CGCUGGCGGCACGCCUAACACAUGCAAGUCGAACGAAGUAGCAAUACUUAGUGGCAGACGGGUGAGUAACAUGUGGGUAUCUUCCCUUUGGCCUGGAAUAACACGAGGAAACUUGUGCUAAUACCGGAUAAGUCUUUACGGAGAAAGCUUUAUGCACCAUUGGAUGAGCCCGCACUUGAUUAGUUUGUUGGUAGGGUAAUGGCCUACCAAGACUGUGAUCAAUAGCUGAUUUGAGAGGAUGAUCAGCCACAUUGGGACUGAGACACGGCCCAAACUCCUACGGGAGGCAGCAGUGGGGAAUCUUGCACAAUGGAGGAAACUCUGAUGCAGCGAUGCCGCGUGAGUGAAGAAGGCCCUUGGGUUGUAAAGCUCUUUCGUCGGGGAAGAAAAUGACUGUACCCGAAUAAGAAGGUCCGGCUAACUUCGUGCCAGCAGCCGCGGUAAUACGAAGGGACCUAGCGUAGUUCGGAAUUACUGGGCUUAAAGAGUUCGUAGGUGGUUGAAAAAGUUGGUGGUGAAAUCCCAGAGCUUAACUCUGGAACUGCCAUCAAAACUUUUCAGCUAGAGUUUGAUAGAGGAAAGCAGAAUUUCUAGUGUAGAGGUGAAAUUCGUAGAUAUUAGAAAGAAUACCAAUUGCGAAGGCAGCUUUCUGGAUCAUUACUGACACUGAGGAACGAAAGCAUGGGUAGCGAAGAGGAUUAGAUACCCUCGUAGUCCAUGCCGUAAACGAUGUGUGUUAGACGUUGGAAAUUUAUUUUCAGUGUCGCAGCGAAAGCGAUAAACACACCGCCUGGGGAGUACG
rnacentral:rRNA from 1 species